AUGUUUAACUCGUAUCUGUUCAUGCUGAUGUCAGCCGUGAUGUCUUGUGUUCACUGUGUUGAACUGACUCAACCUGCAUCCAUUAAUCUGAGGUCUGAUCAGACUUUGACUCUGUCCUGUAAGGUGUCUGGAUAUUCUCUGACUGAUGGCAGCUACUGCACUCACUGGAUACGACAGACUGCUGGAAAACCUCUGGAAUGGAUUGGAAGGAUUUGUAGCAGCGCUGACACAUAUUACAAUGAUAAACUGAAAAAUAAAUUUCAAGUUACAAGAGACACUUCCAGCAGCACAGUGACUCUACAAGGACAGAAUAUGAGGACUGAGGACACAGCUGUACAAUUAGACAACAAAUUGCUCUUUAACAAUUACCACAAUCUCAUAGAGAAACAAAGACUCAGCUUCAACAAUCUCUAG